CACGCACACACACACACAGCAGACACACCGGAUGUAGCCAGAGGGGUCUUCAGCACAAAAUUACAUCCAUGACGGCACAGACAGCACCAUCUUACACCUCAUCGUAAAGCUCUGCAGUUUUCUCGGUCUGGAUGAGGGAACACCAUCUUAAGCUUAACCUGGCAAAAUCUGAGCUUCUCGUCAUGCCAGCCUGUCCCUCAAUCAACCACAACCUCUCUGUACAGCUCAGCUCAACCACACUCAAGCCAACCAGGAUGGCCAGGAACCUUGGGGUAAUUCUUGUUGACGGCUUGACCUUUACAGACCCAUCUCAACAACUGCACGGUCCUGUAGGUUCAUCCUGUACAACAUCAAGAAAAUCAGACCGUAUCUCACCGAACAGGCUACACAGAUACUAGUCCAGGCUCUUGAUAUCUCAAAACUGGACUACUGCAACUCACUCCUUUCAGGCCUCCCAGCCAGCUCCAUCAAACCCCUUCAGAUGAUUCAGAAUGCUGCAGCGCGCCUCGUCUUCAACCAGCCCAAGAGAACCCACGUCACACCCCUCUACGUCUCCCUCCACUGGCUUCCCGUAGCCGCUCGUAUCAAAUUCAAGGCCUUGAUGCUCACGUACAAGACCUUGUCUGGAACAGCGCCCCCUACCUCAACUCUCUCCUGAAGGCUUACGUUUCCUCACGCAAUCUGCGAUCGGUUAACGACCGAUGCUUAGUAGUGCCUACUCAGCGUGGCUCAAGGUUCCUUUCCAGAACCUUCACACUAACCGUCCCUCAGUGGUGGAAUGAACUUCCAACCUCAAUCCGGACCGCAGAAUCUCUCACCAUCUUCAAAAAAACAGCUAAAGACCCAGCUCUUCCGUCAACACCUAACCAACCCAUAAAAAAAUUUUUUAAAAUUACACUUACACCUCUACUCUGCGCACUUUGCUUCUUCUGGAAUUCAAUUAAUGGAUCUUGUACGGUAGCGCUACUUGUAUUGUUCUCUGCUUGAUAUAUCGCUUUGCUUGUAUUUUUGGAUACAAGCAUUGGAUAAAAGCGUCUGCUAAAUGAAUAAAUGUAAAUGUAAAUAAUCCUAGUUUAUGUUUUAUCGUUCCAGUACAAUAAUUAGAGUACAAAAAAAUAGUACUGC
ensembl:lncRNA